rnacentral:tRNA from 1 species
GAGGACUUAGCUUAAUUAAAGCGGUUGAUUUGCGUUCAGAUAAUGUAAGAAGAUUCUUACAGUCCUUA